ensembl:lncRNA
GGAUGGCAGUGCUGCAGCUAAUCUGUAGCUAAUGAGCUUUUCUUUGAACGUCAGUCAAUGGUGUGGGUUGGACAUAAAAGAAUAAUAAAAAACAGUUUCUCACUUGAAAUACAGAUAUAUUAUUGCAUACCUUAAUGUGGAGGCAGUGUGCUCUGUAUGCAUGCAAUGUGCUGGCAGAAAAAAACCCCAUUUGAUUUAAUGUAGGAUAAAAAAAACUCCAAAAAAAUUUUGUCAUCAAAACUGAGAGACUCCACUUUCACACAAGCUGACAAAUACACCUGACUCCUUAAAAGGUUGUCAAACUUUUCCUCUAAACCAUAAGAUAAAUUCACUCAUUAACAGUUAAGAGUUAUUUAAUCAAGUCCAAGGAUCUUACUCAAGUGCAACAUUUAGUGCAGGAGAGCCAGAAUCUUGACAAAAAUGAAUUUCAUUAAAGUAUCAUCGUUCAAUUUGCUACUGUUUGCAUACAAACAUCGAGCUAUUUUAUCAUUGGAGAUUAUAUCUGUUAUUAUUCAUUAUAUAUGCAACAGAUGCACAAAAUGAGCAGGUUAGAAACUGGGAAGAACCUCAAACUGCCUGGCUGGUGACCUCCAGAUCUCACAGAAAUGCCAGAAAGAUGAUAUGUGUAAUAUGUGUAAUAAUAACCUUUUCAUUGCAGUGUUACUGUCCAUAGAGAUGAUGUGAGACUACCGCUGCCAUUAUGCCAAUGGUCUGCCAGCGAGUAUUAAUUACCAGACUGACAAGAUGGCGACGCGUGUAGACGCAGCGACCUCACGCUCUCCUGAAAAUGCGGUGUUUUGUUCGUCAAGUAAGCGCCAAGGCGGUGCGCUAGGACAAGGAAGCGG